UUCUUCUUUUACUUCACACAAUAGAAAAUAAAUAAUAUGUCAAUCACUAGCUAUAAAAAAUGGACUGGUCAUCUAUAGAUACCAAAUAGACAACCACUCAGUGAAAACUACACUCAUUCCAGGAAUUGAUUGAUUUAUGAAAUGAAUAGUCCAAGCCCAGGCAAUAAAAUGAUCGAAAUGGUCCGAGCUAGAGCAUCACUUCCCGUGUUGUCGGAGA
rnacentral:lncRNA from 1 species